CUUGAACGCUGGCGGCAGGCCUAACACAUGCAAGUCGAACGAGUGGCGGACGGGUGAGUCAUGUCUGGGAAACUGCCCGAUGGAGGGGGAUAACUACUGGAAACGGUAGCUAAUACCGCAUACCCUCGGAUGUGCCCAGAUGGGAGUAGCUAGUAGGUGGGGUAACGGCUCCCCUGGGCGACGAUCCCUAGCUGGUCUGAGAGGAUGACCAGCCACACUGGAACUGAGACACGGUCCAGACUCCUAGGGGAGGAAGCAGUGGGGAAUAUUGCACAAUGGGCGCAAGCAUGAUGCAGCCAUGCCGCGUGUAUGAAGAAGGCCUUCGGGUUGUAAAGUACUUUCAGCGAGGAGGCGUUACUCGCAGAAGAAGCACCGGCUAACUCCGUGCCAGCAGCCGCGGUAAUUC
rnacentral:rRNA from 1 species